UACGUAGGGUGCAAGCGUUUAAUCGGAAUUACUGGGCGUAAAGCGUGCGCAGGCGGUUUUGUAAGUUUGUCGUGAAAUCCCCCGGGCUCAACCUGGGAAUGGCGAUGAAGACUGCAAGGCUAGAAUCUGGCAGAGGGGGGGUAGAAUUCCACGUGUAGCAGUGAAAUGCGUAGAGAUGUGGAGGAACACCGAUGGCGAAGGCAGCCCCCUGGGUCAA
rnacentral:rRNA from 1 species